rnacentral:rRNA from 1 species
GUAUAUGGUGAAAUCACCCUGAAUGCACCCGAUCAUGUCAAAACGUGGAAACUAAUCAGAGUUCAGCCUGAUUAGUACUUGAAUUGGAGACUCCCUGGGAAUACCAGGUGUUGUUGGCU